rnacentral:rRNA from 1 species
UACAGGGGGGGCAAGCGUUGUUCGGAAUUACUGGGCGUAAAGGGCUCGUAGGCGGCCAACUAAGUCACACGUGAAAUCCCCAGGCUUAACCUGGGAACUGCUCGAUACUGGAUGGCUUGAAUUCGGGAGAGGGAUGCAGAAUUCCAGGUGUAGCGGUGAAAUGCGUAGAUAUCUGGAGGAAUACCGGUGGCGAAGGCGGCAUCCUGGA